GGUAUCCAUACAAUUUUCAAAUUAACCAAAACGUCACUCUGUAUGCAUUCAUCAAGAUCUUUCAUACAGUUUUGAGGCCCUUACACCAACCAUGCUUUCUGUACUCCAAAAUGUUACAGUGCCAUCAGAUUCGAGUCAGCUGGAAAGAUCUGAACAGCACAGUAGCCAAACUGCGGCAGAGGAAGCAGCUGUAGUGUGCUGCAGUGAUGGGUCUGACUUGGAGUCAGACACAGUACACCAGCCUACUAAAAGAGUAGCAGCUCAAGGUUCUUCAGUAGCUCCAACAGCUAUUUCAUCUUUGAAGCGCAGCAAACAAGAAAACGUUGUCUGGAAGCUAAAGCUGGAGAAUGCAAAAGAAAAAAUUAAGUCCUUGGAGAAUGAAAGGGACUUCUUAAGGAACCAACUGUCUGAGGGUAAUCGAUAAUGAAAAAUUAUUUGAAUAAACAGUAUUAGGAUUUAUUGGCAUCUGAUGGUUUUAAGGCAAAAAAACACACAACAACCCCUACAGAUUUUCUCAUCUACAAUUGCUUGCAGAGUCCACAUGUCUUUGCUGAAGUAAACAAUUGCAUCACGAGUAACAGUCAUUUGGCAUCAAAACAUUUCAAUAACCAUACCAUAUAAGACAGGCACCACCAAAUGGCGGGCCUGGGCCGGACCCAGACACCACACCAUCCUUCAGUCCCGAUCAAAAACCCUGAGAGGACAGGCUACUGCCUACUUCUCUCACUGAACAAGAAGAGACAGUGGAGGGGUGGGAUUGAGGAGGAAAAACGUUAAAUGUGUUCAGGUUGUUUAUUGGGGGCCAAGCAUUGAAUUUGUAUCCCUUCUUAUUUAACCCUAACCCUCUUUUUUUAUUCAACCAUUGAAGUCCAUGGGAGCCCAUAGAACUGUAUGUUGAAAAGUAAUGAAAUUUGGUACACUGGUAGACGGUUGUGCAAGGAGGCCAUGGCGUGAAUUUCAUGUUGAUUGGCCAAAAGGCAGCACUUUAGCUAACAGAAGAGGCAGUAUAUGAUGCCAAAGGUGUGCUGCAGAGACCUCAUUGUUUACUGUACAUUGUAUGGCCUUAACAGCCAGGAACUCGCAGAUCUUUUCAUCCAUUAUUAUUAAUUUUACACUUGAUACAUUUGGGCAUAAUGUAAAAUACUUUUAAGUUUCACUUUUGACUUGUGAUGGCAGCUAACAAGUGAUGGUCACAGCUAAGGGCUGCAUGGCAGUUUAGAAAAAAUAGAUAGUUUUUGUCUUGCAGCCUCUAUUUUCAUUAAGGUGGAAGCAUCUGAUUGUUUGUCUUUUCUAUGCCAUCCCAAAAAUCUAAAUCACUCUACCCUAAAGUGGGGGAGCCCAGGUGUACAUUUAAGUAUAAGUAUAACGCUAGAAUGAUUGGGAGUGAGUGAUAAUUUCACACCCCUAUUGGUAACACUAGUAACGUGCUUAUCGUCUUGCUUGUUUCAGCUUUGGCGCUUGCAAAUAAAGAGGACCAAGUCACGGCAGCGCCCU